rnacentral:rRNA from 1 species
GAUGAACGCUGGCGGCGUGCCUAAUACAUGCAAGUCGAGCGAACAGAUGAGGAGCUUGCUCCUCUGACGUUAGCGGCGGACGGGUGAGUAACACGUGGAUAACCUACCUAUAAGACUGGGAUAACUUCGGGAAACCGGAGCUAAUACCGGAUAAUAUAUUGAACCGCAUGGUUCAAUAGUGAAAGACGGUUUUGCUGUCACUUAUAGAUGGAUCCGCGCCGCAUUAGCUAGUUGGUAAGGUAACGGCUUACCAAGGCAACGAUGCGUAGCCGACCUGAGAGGGUGAUCGGCCACACUGGAACGGAGACACGGUCCAGACGCCUACGGGAGGCAGCAGUAGGGAAUCUUCCGCAAUGGGCGAAAGCCUGACGGAGCAACGCCGCGUGAGUGAUGAAGGUCUUCGGAUCGUAAAACUCUGUUAUUAGGGAAGAACAAAUGUGUAAGUAACUAUGCACGUCUUGACGGUACCUAAUCAGAAAGCCACGGCUAACUACGUG